rnacentral:rRNA from 1 species
AACGUAGGGGACAAGCGUUAUCCGGAUUUACUGGGCGUAAAGCGCCCGUAGGCGGCCUGACAAGUUGGACGUGAAAGCUCCUGGCUUAACUGGGAGAGGCCGUUCAAAACUGUCAAGCUAGAGUCUGGAAGAGGAGAGCGGAAUUCCCGGUGUAGUGGUGGAAUGCGUAGAGAUCGGGAGGAACACCAGUGGCGAAGGCGGGUCUCUGGACAGUUCCUGACGCUGAGGCACGAAGGUCAGGGGAGCAAACGGG